rnacentral:rRNA from 1 species
AGGAUGAACGCUAGCGACAGGCUAACACAUGCAAGUCGAGGGGUAACAGGGUAGCAAUACCGCUGACGACCGGCGCACGGGUGAGUAACGCGUAUGCAACCUGCCUAUAACUGGGGAAUAGCUCCCUGAAAGGGGAAUUAACACCGCAUGACACUAUUGAUUCGCAUGGAUUGGUAGUUAAAUGUAGCGAUACAGGUUAUAGAUGGGCAUGCGUGACAUUAGCUAGUUGGUGAGGUAACGGCUCACCAAGGCUACGAUGUCUAGGGGUUCUGAGAGGAAGGUCCCCCCACACUGGUACUGAGACACGGACCAGACUCCUACGGGAGGCAGCAGUGAGGAAUAUUGGUCAAUGGGCGCAAGCCUGAACCAGCCAUGUCGCGUGCAGGAAGAACCUGCCCUAUGGGUUGUAAACUGCUUUUAUAGUAGAAGAAACACAUCUACGCGUAGAUGUCUGCCAGUAUACUAUGAAUAAGCAUCGGCUAACUCCGUGCCAGCCGCCGC